rnacentral:lncRNA from 1 species
CUCAUGAUAGUCAUACUGUUCUGAGAUUUAUUUUUUUUUCAUCCUCAACCUGCUUUAAAAAAAGAAAAAGAAAAACCAGCCCACAACUCCUCAGCAACUCCUUAGUGAAAGAAAAAUGUGGCUUCUCCUGGAGUAAGAAAGACCUGUUUGUAGCGUUGUCUGUGUGUAAUUAACUGCCUUACCUGAAGUUUUCACAAACCAGCAGUUUGUUUCUACAGGGCAGCCAGCACCGGUGAACUGCCGUCACCGAAGCAGGGGUCUCUGCACGCCUUUCGUUUGCUGCACAUGUGUAAGGCUGCAUUGCUGGAGUAAGCCGUAACCCUUUCUGUCCUGAAGAGUCGGUUCGGCACUGCUGUGGAACGCCUCUCCAAGCACUCGGUCCCCCCAGAAUGUGCCAGCGGGAAGCGGCUCCUCUGUCAGUCCGGGGAGAUGCACUAAGACUGUUAUCUGAUCCCAAGAAAAUAACCCAAGGCAUGUACUAA